AAUCAGUGCAUUGGACAUUUUUGCAGCAAAUCCUUAAAUCUUUCCCAUGCCUCGUACAAGCUUUCAUUUUCUAACUGUUGAAAGGAAGUGAGGUCGUUUCAAAGUUU